GGUUCAAUGGUCUAGUGGUAUGAUUCGUGCUUCGGGUUCUUCUUUCCCGGUAUCCGUCUACGGAUGCUUCUAUUGUGCGAGGUCCGGGGUUCGAAUCCCCGUUGAACCC